GUGCUCACUUCAGCAUCAUGUGUACUAAAAUUAGAAUGAAAGAGAGAAGAUUAGAGUGGCCCCUGUGCAAGAACGACAUGCAGAUUCAUGAAAUGUUCCAUAUUAUU
rnacentral:snRNA from 1 species